UCACGGUUACCGGGGCGACAGGGGCCUCAUUUGCAUAGACCUCCUUGAUUGGCUAAGGGAGAGCAGGGUCUUUGGGAGGUGGGGCAAAAGCCUUUCCUUCUCUCCCACGGAAAGCCACGCCUUGUCCAAGCUCCGCCCGGUCCCCGCCCGCACGCCGGGCGGGGGCUGCUGACCUGGGCAGGCGCUCAGCGCCCCGCAGACUCAGUGUCAAUCCGGUCUGGAGCGCAAGUUUCGCUUUUAGAAAUUGUCAAGGUGACCAAGGGGACACUUGCGGGAAUUCUCUUUCCUUUGGCCAGUCAGUGUAAUAGAUGAGCAAAAUCUGGAGAUUCUCCCAAAUAUGUUCCAAAGGCAAGUUGGACCACGCGGACGAUGCCUGGCAGGGCAUUUGGUAGAAAACAAACGUUUUGACACGGUAACAUGCGGUGAACCCCAGGAUGAAGUGGUAGAGAGAAGGGUCCGAAGAGAGAAGAGAAGGUGUUGGAAAACGAGAUGCGAAAAUUUGAGGUUGAAGAUAGAGUGUGGCAACGAAGGUCAUGCCAUCUGUAGAGGAGCCCCUUUAACUGGCUGCAGUGUUUAGAGACUUCACACCAAGCCUUUGCUCCAUGAAGUGUGUCCCCAAGAUUGACCCGGAGCCUAUUCUACAGGUACAGUUGUAGUUCCGGGGUAGAUGGGAGAAUGAACGAGAGGAUUCGUAAUUGCUGCGGAAGGAAUACUUCCGCGGGUCACAUGGAAGGUAUUAGUCCGCCGUGGGCCACUGAACCGCCCGGUCAUCCGGGUGACAGGUGGUAUAGUUCUUGAGGAAUUGCUUCCCAGGUCUGCUAGCACAUUUAACCGUGUUGGUGCAGGUGCUGGGCGGAGGGCCCCUGGACCUGAAUGGCAGGGUUUUAAUAAGGAUCUAUAGGAGUCUCUGCGGAUUCCACAGAGCUGGAAAAUUCCCCACCUGGAAAAGACCACUGACUUGAUAGCCGUCUGAGGAUGUGUCCAUGUUGCAUAAAAACAGAAUAUACUGCCCUUAAAGAUCCAUGGGUAAUAAAAGUCCGAGUUGUUUCUUAGCA
rnacentral:lncRNA from 1 species